rnacentral:miRNA from 1 species
UGACGGGUUUGGUCUCUCCA